rnacentral:misc_RNA from 1 species
AUGGGUCGUUCAAGUUAUAUAGAAAAUAGAUAUCAUUCCCUCGAAGAGUUGUAUUAUAAAUUGAUUUUUUAAUGUAAAAUAAACUAUACUAAAAGUGUAAUUUAAUCAAACAAAUAUGAAAUUUGGGAAAAAUGAAGUUUAAGGUAUGAAAAUGCAAAACUCAAUUUAAACAACUAGCUAAUUUAAUAAAUGACCAAAAUU